rnacentral:rRNA from 1 species
GAUGAACGCUGGCGGCGUGCCUAAUACAUGCAAGUCGAGCGAACGGACGAGAAGCUUGCUUCUCUGAUGUUAGCGGCGGACGGGUGAGUAACACGUGGAUAACCUACCUAUAAGACUGGGAUAACUUCGGGAAGCCGGAGCUAAUACCGGAUGAUAUUUUGAACCGCAUGGUUCAAAAGUGAAAGACGGUCUUGCUGUCACUUAUAGAUGGAUCCGCGCUGCAUUAGCUAGUUGGUAAGGUAACGGCUUACCAAGGCAACGAUGCAUAGCCGACCUGAGAGGGUGAUCGGCCACACUGGAACUGAGACACGGUCCAGACUCCUACGGGAGGCAGCAGUAGGGAAUCUUCCGCAAAGGGCGAAAGCCUGACGGAGCAACGCCGCGUGAGUGAUGAAGGUCUUCGGAUCGUAAAACUCUGUUAUUAGGGAAGAACAUAUGUGUAAGUAACUGUGCACAUCUUGACGGUACCUAAUCAGAAAGCCACGGCUAACUACGUG